AAAGUACUCCCUCCGUCCCAAAAUUCUUGUCUUAGAUUUGUCUAGAUACGGAUGUAUCAAGUCACAUUUUAGUAUUAGAUACAUCCGUAUCUAGACAAAUCUAAGACAAGAAAUUUGGNGUAUCAA
rnacentral:pre_miRNA from 1 species